rnacentral:rRNA from 1 species
GUGGGGAAUCUUGCGCAAUGGGCGAAAGCCUGACGCAGCCAUGCCGCGUGAAUGAUGAAGGUCUUAGGAUUGUAAAAUUCUUUCACCGGGGACGAUAAUGACGGUACCCGGAGAAGAAGCCCCGGCUAACUUCGUGCCAGCAGCCGCGGUAAUACGAAGGGGGCUAGCGUUGCUCGGAAUUACUGGGCGUAAAGGGCGCGUAGGCGGACAGUUUAGUCAGAGGUGAAAGCCGAGGGCUCAACCUUGGAAUUGCCUUUGAUACUGGCUGUCUUGAGUACGGGAGAGGUGAGUGGAACUCCGAGUGUAGAGGUGAAAUUCGUAGAUAUUCGGAAGAACACCAGUGGCGAAGGCGACUCACUGGCCCGUUACUGACGCUGAGGCGCGAAAGCGUGGGGAGCAAACAGGAUUAGAUACCCGUGUAGUCC